rnacentral:rRNA from 1 species
GUCCACGCCGUAAACGAUGAGUGCUAGAUGCUGUGGGUAUUGACCCCCGCGGUGUCGCAGCCAACGCGUUAAGCACUCCGCCUGGGGAGUACGGCCGCAAGGCUAAAACUCAAAGGAAUUGACGGGGGCCCCGCACAAGCGGUGGAGCAUGUGGUUCAAUUCGACGCAACGCGCAGAACCUUACCUGGGUUAAAUCCACUAGAAGCUGACAGAGAUGUCGGUUUGCCCUUCGGGGAGCUAGUGAGAAGGUGCUGCAUGGCUGUCGU